GACGAACGCUGGCGGCGUGCUUAACACAUGCAAGUCGAACGAUGAAGCAGAGAAACGCGCACUUCGGUUCAAAUUUCACUUCGGAUUAGUGGCAGACGGGUGAGUAACGCGUGAGCAACCUACCUCUUACAAAGGGAUAGCCUCGGGAAACCGUGAUUAAUACCAUAUGACACAUUCAUAAGGCAUCUUAAGAAUGUUAAAGCUACGGCGGUAAGAGAUGGGCUCGCGUCCCAUUAGCUAGUUGGUGAGGUAACGGCCCACCAAGGCGACGAUGGGUAACCGGGCUGAGAGGGUGAACGGUCACAUUGGAACUGAGACACGGUCCAAACUCCUACGGGAGGCAGCAGUGGGGAAUAUUGCACAAUGGAGGGAACUCUGAUGCAGCGACGCCGCGUGAGCGAUGAAGGAAUUCGUUUCGUAAAGCUCUGUUCUAUGGGAAGAAAAGGACUGUACCAUAGGAGAAAGCCCCGGCUAAAUACGUG
rnacentral:rRNA from 1 species